CUCGGCAGGGUAAUGGAGAAGCUUCAUUCUGAUGGUCUAGAAGUUUUUGUUUGGUGUUUCCCUCGGCAGGGUAAUGGAGGAAGAUGAGACUUACCCCAGUUUUCAGUGCAUGGUUGGAGAAGAGGAUAAGAGGAGAGGCUUGAAUCUUGAGGUGACAAGGGUAGUCAUCUGGUGCAACUAAAGGUUCAGGUUCAUACUUGUGAUGAUAUUCGUCAGUUUGCCUGGAUGAUUGCCCUGUACUAAUCUUUUCAGAAGGAAGGAGGUAAAUGGAGCAAAAGGCACGAGGAGAAAGGAGUAACGCCAUAGGGACGAUGUUGUCGGCAACGCCUUUGAAAGGAUUCUCCAAGGAGAAGCUACGGUGGCUGACCAUCUUGCUCGGGAAGUGGGAAGGAUGUCAUUCGGGAAGCCCCUAGGUUCUAGGGGUGUGCGUCCAUGCGGUGGACGAGGAUGGCCAUGCGGUGGCCGAGGUGGCCACAAGGAGUUGGAUUGGGCACUUGCCAAUGCGAGCAUGUCGUUGCUCAAGGUACCAAGACCCUGGUUUUGACACAAAGUUUCUUGGCAAGCUGUGCAUGGUUGGGACUGUUUCGUGCAUGCGGGCAAUGGCUCAUGCCAUUCAGUAGCCAUCCAUGUCGCCGUCGCUUGCUGUUAGUUUUUCUUGGAUUCCAAAUUACUUUAUGUGGUGUUCCUCAAUGCAUGAAUUAUUUUCAAUAUGGACGUGAGUCUGA